UGUCGACGACGCAUAUCAAUAAGCGGAGGAAAAGAAACCAACCGGGAUUGCCUUAGUAACGGCGAGUGAAGCGGCAAAAGCUCAAAUUUGAAAUCUGGUACCUUCGGUGCCCGAGUUGUAAUUUGGAGAGGGCAACUUUGGGGCCGUUCCUUGUCUAUGUUCCUUGGAACAGGACGUCAUAGAGGGUGAGAAUCCCGUGUGGCGAGGAGUGCGGUUCUUUGUAAAGUGCCUUCGAAGAGUCGAGUUGUUUGGGAAUGCAGCUCUAAGUGGGUGGUAAAUUCCAUCUAAAGCUAAAUAUUGGCGAGAGACCGAUAGCGAACAAGUACAGUGAUGGAAAGAUGAAAAGAACUUUGAAAAGAGAGUGAAAAAGUACGUGAAAUUGUUGAAAGGGAAGGGCAUUUGAUCAGACAUGGUGUUUUGUGCCCUCUGCUCCUUGUGGGUAGGGGAAUCUCGCAUUUCACUGGGCCAGCAUCAGUUUUGGUGGCAGGAUAAAUCCAUAGGAAUGUAGCUUGCCUCGGUAAGUAUUAUAGCCUGUGGGAAUACUGCCAGCUGGGACUGAGGACUGCGACGUAAGUCAAGGAUGCUGGCAUAAUGGUUAUAUGCCGCCCGUCUUGAAACACGGACCCCUG
rnacentral:rRNA from 1 species